rnacentral:lncRNA from 1 species
GCACCACUAUAAAAGGAGGCGUCGAUAGAUCAACCUGCGGCACUCCUGCGACAACAGCAAUCUUCAGGUUGCAAGAAAGCACCAGCCAUGGCGAUCCGGGGCGUGGCCUCCUCCCGCGAGGACAUGACGCUGGAGGAGUUCAAGGAGUGGCUGAAGCAGUUCGACGCCGACGGCGACGGCAAGAUCAGCCGGAACGAGCUCCGGGAGGCCCUCCGCCGCCGCGGCGGGUGGUUCACCACCUGGAGGAGCGGCCGAGCCCUUCGCCAGGCCGACAAGAACAACAGCGGCUUCCUGGACGACUCCGAAAUCGAGAACCUCGUCGCCUUCGCCCAGAAAGAUCUCGGCAUGAAGGUAUCCACGUGGUAGAAGGACGCAGAGUCACAGCUGCAUGAUCCUGCAUGCGUGACACCCAUGAACCUGGCUGCUUCUAUGAACUGAUGAGCCAGCACCCACACCCAGCAGUGUCCUCCUCCUUGUAUUGUGUAGCACCUAAAUUUUGAGCUCCUAUCUUUGUUUUCUCCCCUUAAUUUGUGUGGUGCUUGAUAUGCCGAUCACUUCUCCUGAAUGGUGGUAUGUGUAAACGCCACACAUGAGGCUUGUUUGUAUGUUAAGCAUGACGCAGUUGUGGCUAUGUCCAGGGGUUUGAUGCUUGUAGUGCAUAAGAAAAUGAAACUGGGUCUUUUACUCAUGCCCCCUAUUCUCUUUGGGCAUCAUGAUGUCUAUUAUUUUAGCUAAUAUGAUCCAAUAGCAAAUCAAGCUGUACGCCCCAAACUCUUUUUUUUUUGAAACCUGUACGGCACGCCCCAAACUCUGCAAGCUUCCACUUUCUUCAAAAAAUUAGCUUUGCCAGGAAAAGAAGAAAAAGAGAGAGAGAGAAUUAGCUCCGAACUUACUGCAUAUAUAUGAUUUUACAUGCCUUAAUUAAGUCUGAAGAAGGUUGACAAAAUUGUUAAUUUGUUCCCCUCUAUCACCAGCUUAGUCUUUUGAGAGACUUAUGGGUGCAUUGCAACUGAUAUAUAUAGAUGGGAAGCAUAUUGAAG